AUUGAACGCUGGCGGCAUGCCUUACACAUGCAAGUCGAACGGUAACGGGCCUUCGGGUGCCGACGAGUGGCGAACGGGUGAGUAAUACAUCGGAACGUGCCCGAUCGUGGGGGAUAACGAGGCGAAAGCUUUGCUAAUACCGCAUACGAUCUACGGAUGAAAGCAGGGGACCGCAAGGCCUUGCGCGGACGGAGCGGCCGAUGGCUGAUUAGGUAGUUGGUGGGAUAAAAGCUUACCAAGCCGACGAUCUGUAGCUGGUCUGAGAGGAUGAUCAGCCACACUGGGACUGAGACACGGCCCAGACUCCUACGGGAGGCAGCAGUGGGGAAUUUUGGACAAUGGGCGCAAGCCUGAUCCAGCCAUGCCGCGUGCAGGAUGAAGGCCUUCGGGUUGUAAACUGCUUUUGUACGGAACGAAAAGCCUUCUUUUAAUACAGGAGGGUCAUGACGGUACCGUAAGAAUAAGCACCGGCUAACUACGUG
rnacentral:rRNA from 1 species